UACGUAGGGCGCAAGCGUUGUCCGGAAUUACUGGGCGUAAAGCGUGUGUAGGCGGCCACGUAAGUCGGAUGUGAAAGCCCCGGGCUCAACCCGGGAAGUGCACUCGAUACUGCGUGGCUUGAGUAUCGGAGAGGUUGGUGGAAUUCUCGGUGUAGAGGUGAAAUUCGUAGAUAUCGAGAGGAACACCGGUGGCGGAGGCGGCCAACUGGACGAAUACUGACGCUGAGACACGAAAGCGUGGGGAGCAAACAGG
rnacentral:rRNA from 1 species